rnacentral:lncRNA from 1 species
AGCAGGACCAUUGACUAUCCAGGAAGCCCUGACUUACUUUGGUGGAGCGGUGGCUUCUACGAUAGGUCUGAUAAUGGGUGGGACGCUCCUGGCUUUGCUAAGAAAGCGUUUCAGACAAAAAGAUGAUGGGAAAUGCCCCUUGAAUCCUCACAGCCACCUAGGAACAUAUGGAGUUUUUACAAACGCUGCAUUUGACCCGAGUCCUUAAGAGACCUGUCCUUUUCCUGGUCUCCUCAUUCAGCCUCCAUAUGAUCCUGUUGUGAACAUCAAGUUUCCUGCUACACUGGACUUAACUAUAAUGCAUUUGCUGCAGGUUUCCAUAAACACCCAUGAAUCAAAGACAUGGAAUUACCUUAGAUUAGCUCUGGACCAGCCUGUUGGACCCGCUCUGGACCAACCCUGUUUCCUGAGUUUGGGAUUGUGGUACAAUCUCAAAUUCUCAACCUACCACCCCUUCCUGUCCCACCUCUUCUCUUCCUGUAACACAAGCCACAGAAGCCAGGAGCAAAUGUUUCUGCAGUAGUCUCUGUGCUUUGACUCACCUGUUACUUGAAAUACCAGUGAACCAAAGAGACUGGAGCAUCUGACUCACAAGAAGACCAGACUGUGGAGAAAUAAAAAUACCUCUUUAUUUUUUGAUUGAAGGAAGGUUUUCUCCACUUUGUUGGAAAGCAGGUGGCAUCUCUAAUUGGAAGAAAUUCCUGUAGCAUCUUCUGGAGUCUCCAGUGGUUGCUGUUGAUGAGGCCUCUUGGACCUCUGCUCUGAGGCUUCCAGAGAGUCCUCUGGAUGGCACCAGAGGCUGCAGAAGGCCAAGAAUCAAGCUAGAAGGCCACAUGUCACCGUGGACCUUCCUGCCACCAGUCACUGUCCCUCAAAUGACCCAAAGACCAAUAUUCAAAUGCGUAAUUAAAAGAAUUUUCC